ACUGGCAGCUGGGUACCGAUUCAUCACCGACGUGUUUAAAGUAUCCGUGUGUGUGCCUCCAAAAACCGUUUGUGGAGACAGCAGAGUGCCCGAGGCAGGAAACCGCUCCGGCCUGGAGGCGCCCCUGCCCGGACUCGUGGACUGCAGCGCUGUCCCGCUCGGAAGCCGAUCCUGGGAGUCCGAGCGGGGCCGCGGGGCCUGCGUGGCAGCCGAGUCGAGGGCUUCGGGCCGCGGGGCUGUGGAGCGCCCCUUGGCGCUGGGCCGCCGGCAGCCGUGAGCGCAUCACUGCAUUUCCCUGGAGGAAUUCCUCAUCUGUUGAAUGAGGGAGUUGAGGCGGACACGCUGGGAAAUGGCUUCGAGCUCACACACUGAUUUUCGUGAGUGGAAAGAGAAGCCCUUUCUUAGGCGUCUUCCAUACCACUGCAUGUUCCAGGGUCCUCCCUGGGCUCUCUGUCUCCCACGCCACCGCGAGCACGGCCUAAGCGGGCGAGCGAAGGCGCGACGGCGCCGAGAGCCGGCUGUGCCCUACAAACGCUGGGUUUCCUUUCUCAUUCGUGGACUUUUUUCCCUGGAUCCUUCUUACUGCUCCUACCCUGUGGCCGCACGUCUGGCAGAUGCGCGGCGGGCGCUGCCUGAACCCCCGAAUCCUCACAAGCCUCUGUGCAGCGGCCACGGCCCUCAGCUAGCGGCGGGGAGACUGAAGCCGCAGGGUCAGGGGUCCCGCUCUGUCGCCCAGGCUGGAGUGCAGUGGAGCGAUCACGGUUCACUGCAGCCUCCCCACCUCCGACUCCAGCGAUCCUCUCGCCUCAGCCUCCCGAGUAGCUGGGACCACAGGUGCAUGCCACCAUGCCCGGCUAAUUGUUAAUAUUUUUUUUGGUAGAGAUGGGGCCUCCCUCUGUUGCCUAGGCUGGCCUUGAACUCCUGGGCUCAAGCGAUCUUCCAGCUUCGGCCUCCCAAAGUGCUGGCAUUACAGGCGUGAGUCACCCCGCCUGGCAAGAAUUGUUGUUUUGAAACUAACUGAGGUUCUCCCAUCAAUGGAUUUAAAUUGUUACUUUUUAAUGAUUUUUUUUUAAGUAGCCAAAUACUAAAUGUAUGUAAUUUGAAUGUGGAGAGAAGAUAAUGCAUGAUUCAAAUUAUGUGGCUGAUCAUGGGUGAUACACUGGGAUAUAGUUGUAAAAUAAGUAGUUCUCCUAGGGAAAAUAUUAAAGUACAACUGUGUUGGGUUUAAUAUCAGAAAAAUGUAAUUAAAAACAUUUCCUGCCAAUAAUUUCCAAUCUGAUACUUAAACAAAACAAAACAAUAAAAGUUUCCCAUCUCUUUCGGGCCUUUUAAAUUUCUACCAAAAGUAAGUGAUGCUGGCUGAUUCCCCUGCUAUAGCAAGUUGUGAAUAAAUAGCCUUUGCUGGUUUCCACAGUUUUCCUGGUGAUCCCAUGGUAAGUCUGUACUGCUUGUCCCUGAGGUCCCCAGGCUUCC
rnacentral:lncRNA from 1 species